rnacentral:misc_RNA from 1 species
ACAAUCUUUCUCCUCAUUUUGCCAGGGGCAACCACAUCUUUGUUAAACAUGACUCCUUUAAGAACUUUAGAAUCUUCCAACUGGCCACCAGGUACCUUCUCAACCUUGAUGUACUUCUUGAUAUCCACUUCUCGCAAUCCUUGGCCAAGAUCAACCCCUACUGUUGAGGUGGCAUCAAUUGCCAGAUCAGCAAUCAAGUCUCCAAAUUGACUGGUGAACUUUGUGCCUAUACAGCUCUUAACCAGCCCCAACAAGGUUGCACGGUCAUUGACAUCAAUGGACAUAGCAAUUUUGUCAAGCACAGCAAUAGCAUCCUCCAAGGCUUUAU